rnacentral:lncRNA from 1 species
AGGCACGAGGAGACAGUUUCACUUCAGUUGAGUUUGUUCAUGAAGGUCGGAUGUCUAAUGGGGAUACUCAUAGGCUAGCAAGAGGCUCUCUGUAUGAGACAAUUGGUAGACAUGUCUGGUUGAUCAGUUUGCCGGAGGGAGUGUGUACUUUUUAUUCUCAGACUAGUUAAUAAAGUUUGAGAUUCUAAAAAAAAACUUGAUCCUUGCUCGGAACUGUUUAAGGGCAAAAAUGAUUCCUGUGGAGCCGAAUAAGGCCUAACUGAAUUCAUUCUUUUCGAAGAGCAACCAAUAAUAUGAGGCCAACUUUUCACAGCAAUACCAAGGACUAGUGGAAAUCUGAAAGAAAAAUAAGUUGACUACCCCC